AUUGAACGCUGGCGGCAGGCCUAACACAUGCAAGUCGAACGAGCGGCAGACGGGUGAGUAACGCGUGGGAACGUACAUUUUGGUUCAUAACAACAACGGGAAACUUGUGCUAAUACCGGAUACCGAAAGAUCGGCCCGCGUCGGAUUAGCUAGUUGGUAGGGUAAUGGCCUACCAAGGCGACGAUCAGUAGCUGGUCUGAGAGGAUGAUCAGCCACAUUGGGACUGAGACACGGCCCACACUCCUACGGGAGGCAGCAGUGGGGAAUAUUGGACAAUGGGGUCAACCCUGAUGCAGCCAUGCCGCGUGUAUGAAGAAGGCCUUCGGGUUGUAAAGUACUUUCAGCGGGGAGGCGUUACCCGCAGAAGAAGCACCGGCUAACUCCGUGCCAGCAGCCGCGGUAAUAC
rnacentral:rRNA from 1 species